rnacentral:rRNA from 1 species
GCUUAGAGUUUGAUCCUGGCUCAGAUUGAACGCUGGCGGCAUGGCUAAAGCAUGCAAGUCUGGGAGAACCUUCGGGGGACACCGGCGAAAGGGCGAGUAACGCGAUCGAACGUACCCCAGUGCGGGGGAUAGCGUCGGGAAACCGGCGGUAAUACCCCAUGUGCUCUACGGAGGAAGCUGGGAGCGGCGAUCGUCCUAUCAGGUUGUUGGUGGGGUAAUGGCCUACCAAGCCGAAGACGGGUAGCGGGUGUGAGAGCAUGGCCCGCCGCAUCGGGACUGAGACACUGCCCGGACUCCUACGGGAGGCUGCAGCGACGAAUCUUCCGCAAUGCGCGAAAGCGUGACGGAGCAAUGCCGCGUGUGGGAUGAAGGCGCUCUGCGUCGUAAACCACUGUCAGGCCCUAGAACCAACGAUCAGGGCCAGAGGAAGGGCCGGCUAAACUCGUGCCAGCAGCCGCGGUAAGACGAGUGGCCCAAGCGUUAAUCGGAAUCACUGGGCUUAAAGCGUGCGCAGGCGGACCUUCAGGCAUCCCGUGAAAUGCCCCGGCUCAACCGGGGAACUGCGGGGUGAACCGUUGGUCUUGAGGCAGGUAGGGGGGUGCAGAACUGUCGGUGGAGCGGUGAAAUGUGUAGAUAUCGACAGGAAUGCCGAAGGGGGAAGCCGGCACCCUGGGCCUGUCCUGACGCUCAUG